rnacentral:lncRNA from 1 species
AUUUUUUUAUGGUACUAUAUACAUUAAAAUUACAACAUAAUUGUUUAAAUUACAAAUUCAUGUCCAUUAGACAAACAGGUAAAAUACGAAUACAAUAUAGUCUUAUACAGAACAUAAUAAGACACAACAUAAUAAUAACGAGAAGUAGCAAUCCUCAGCCUCUAACUCGGUUACUCCCUUGCUUGCUUACCACGUGAACACUGCUUAUCUGAAAAAAAUUAAGAGUAAUGGGAUGAGACUUCAAGC